UGGGGAAUAUUGCACACUGGGCGCAAGCCUGAUGCAGCCAUGCCGCGUGUAUGAAGAAGGCCUUCGGGUUGUAAAGUACUUUCAGCGGGGAGGAAGGUGUUGUGGUUAAUAACCACAGCAAUUGACGUUACCCGCAGAAGAAGCACCGGCUAACUCCGUGCCAGCAGCCGCGGUAAUACGGAGGGUGCAAGCGUUAAUCGGAAUUAAUGGGCGUAAAGCGCACGCAGGCGGUCUGUCAAGUCGGAUGUGAAAUCCCCGGGCUCAACCUGGGAACUGCAUCCGAAACUGGCAGGCUUGAGUCUUGUAGAGGGGGGUAGAAUUCCAGGUGUAGCGGUGAAAUGCGUAGAGAUCUGGAGGAAUACCGGUGGCGAAGGCGGCCCCCUGGACAAAGACUGACGCUCAGGUGCGAAAGCGUGGGGAGCAAACA
rnacentral:rRNA from 1 species